rnacentral:rRNA from 1 species
CCCAGACUCCUACGGGAGGCAGCAGUGGGGGAUAUUGCACAAUGGGGGGAACCCUGAUGCAGCGACGCCGCGUGGGUGAAGGAGUAUUUCGGUAUGUAAAGCCCUAUCAGCAGGGAAGAAAGAAAUGACGGUACCUGACUAAGAAGCCCCGGCUAACUACGUGCCAGCAGCCGCGGUAAUACGUAGGGGGCAAGCGUUAUCCGGAUUUACUGGGUGUAAAGGGAGCGUAGACGGCGAUGCAAGUCUGAAGUGAGAGGCGGGGGCCCAACCCCCGGACUGCUUUGGAAACUGUAUGGCUGGAGUGCAGGAGAGGUAAGUGGAAUUCCUAGUGUAGCGGUGAAAUGCGUAGAUAUUAGGAGGAACACCAGUGGCGAAGGCGGCUUACUGGACUGUAACUGACGUUGAGGCUCGAAAGCGCGGGGAGCAAACAGGAUUAGAUCCCCGAGUA